GAGGCAUUCAAAUAUUUUCUUGUUCUUUUUAUAAUAUCAAUUUGUUAUGGAGUGAUAAAGAGGAGUAUUUUAACCGCUUGGUCCGCAAUCAUCGGAUCAGGAAUUUGUAUGGAAAUACAACGACGUCCGACGUUGACGGUAUUGGAAUAGAUCGCAAGAGCAC